UGCCCUUCUCUGCGGAAUAGCCACUGGAAACGGUGAGUAAUACCGCAUACGCCCUUCGGGGGAAAAGGAUUUAUCGGAGAAGGAUCGGCCCGCGUUAGAUUAGAUAGUUGGUGGGUAACGGCCUACCAAAGUCUACGAUCUAUAGCUGGUUUUUAGAGGAUGAUCAGCAACACUGGGACUGAGACACGGCCCAGACUCCUACGGGAGGCAGCAGUGGGGAAUCUUAGACAAUGGGCGCAAGCCUGAUCUAGCCAUGCCGCGUGUGUGAUGAAGGUCUUAGGAUCGUAAAGCACUUUCGCCAGGGAUGAUAAUGACAGUACCUAGGUAAACGAAACCCGGCUAACUCCGUG
rnacentral:rRNA from 1 species